AAACUGAGGGCUGGAGAUCAGCUGCAGACACUUCAGCUACUAGCGUAUCAGGAGACCUGAGGUGUUAUAGGCACUCAGUGCAAAGCAGCUUCGGACUCCAACCUAUAGGAAAGCAUGGCUGGUGAGUCAGUUACCACACUGGCUUUUCUGCUCUGCUGUCUGGGCCUCCCAGCUGUGCUCCGUCUGUCUCUCUCUGAAGCACGUAGACUGAUGGUCAGAGAUUCUGUAACUGGGGCAUCAGCUACACUGACAUCCAGUGAGCGGGACUCAGACCAGCUGAUGAAUCUCUGAGGUGGAGGUGUGACUGAGGGUCUUACUCUGAUGGUCAGAGAUUCUGUAACUGGGGCAUCAGCUACACUGACAUCCAGUGAGCCGGACUCAGACCAGCUGAUGAAUCUCUGAGGUGGAGGUGUGACUGAGGGUCUUACUCUGAUGGUCAGAGAUUCUGUAACUGGGGCAUCAGUUACACUGACAUCCAGUGAGCGGGACUCAGACCAGCUGAUGAAUCUCUGAGGUGGAGGUGUGACUGAGGGUCUUACUCUGAUGGUCAGAGAUUCUGUAACUGGGGCAUCAGCUACACUGACAUCCAGUGAGCGGGACUCAGACCAGCUGAUGAAUCUCUGAGGUGGAGGUGUGACUGAGGGUCUUACUCUGAAGGGCUCUGCUGGCUGUAAAGGGCACUUUUACAGUCAUAUAGGCCUUUGCUGUGUGCAGUUGCAGCACAUCCUGUUUCUCUAUAUCUUGGUGUCUGACUGCUGGUGUUAUAGGCUAUAUAUGCUACUUUCUGCACGAUUGUAAACAACCGACAUAUGCAAAUGAGGUUUUUUAUUGGCUAAGCAGAAAGGGGAAAUAUCUGUCUUCAGAUGUAACAGGGGAUGAAAAAGUACCUCCCACUAUCUUUCUCUUUCCCAUGAGCUCAUGCUUUGUGUGGCUCUGCACUAAAUAAUUAUUAAAAUAACUGCAUCAUCUAAAACACCUCUGGCUGACAGUUUUUUGCACAUUGUUAUGAGUAUUCAGUCAAACUGAGACAAAUGUUUAACAUUCAUGGUAACUGAUA